rnacentral:rRNA from 1 species
GUGGGGAAUUUUGGACAAUGGGCGCAAGCCUGAUCCAGCAAUGCCGCGUGCAGGAAGAAGGCCUUCGGGUUGUAAAGCACUUUUGUCCGGAAAGAAAUCUCCUGGGUUAAUACCUCGGGGGGGUGACGGUACCGGAAGAAUAAGCACCGGCUAACUACGUGCCAGCAGCCGCGGUAAUACGUAGGGUGCGAGCGUUAAUCGGAAUUACUGGGCGUAAAGCGUGCGCAGGCGGCUCUGCAAGACAGAUGUGAAAGCCCCGGGCUCAACCUGGGAACUGAAUUUGUGACUGCAAGGCUAGAGUGCGUCAGAGGGAGGUGGAAUUCCGCGUGUAGCAGUGAAAUGCGUAGAGAUGCGGAGGAACACCGAUGGCGAAGGCAGCCUCCUGGGAUGACACUGACGCUCAUGCACGAAAGCGUGGGGAGCAAACAGGAUUAGAAACCCUAGUAGUCC